GAUCAGCAUUAUGCCGGGGCAUAUAAGACAGGUAUGCAUCGGAACACCCGGCAGGAAGUACUUGCAAAGGUGAUUCCCUUUUC
rnacentral:ncRNA from 1 species